GGGUAAUCAAGGAGACAAGAAACACCUGGGAACAAUCAAGGGGAGACAGGACAACACGGAGACUCAGAGAGACAGAAACUCAAAAUAAACACAGAUAAGGGACAGAUCCCGACAGUACUGGUUUUAUUCAGA